UACGUAGGCAGCAAGCGUUGUUCGGAAUUACCGGGCGUAAAGAGUGUGUAGGCGGUGCUCCAAGUCUGGUGUGAAAUCUCCCGGCUUAACUGGGAGGGUGCAUUAGAAACUGGAAUGCUAGAGGAUGGGAGAGGUAAGCGGAAUUCCUGGUGUAGCGGUGAAAUGCGUAGAUAUCAGGAGGAACACCUAUGGCGAAGGCAGCUCUCUGGGACGGUACUGACGCUGAGACGCGAAAGCGUGGGGAGCGAACAGG
rnacentral:rRNA from 1 species